AUGCCUGGAAGCGUUCAAGGGAUUGGAUGGGGCUUGGAGCAAAUUGGUCUGGUGGAAGGUGUCCCUCCCCAUGGCAAGAGAGACUGGAAUAAGGUGUUCUUUAAAGUGCUUUCCAGCCCAAACCAUUCUAUAUUUCUAUGAUAAGUACUCCAAACCAGUAAGUUCCAGGGACACUUGCCAGUAACAUGGCACUUGUUAAGAGGUGGGGGGUUGUGAAACUUUUUUGCUAAACUAGUAAAACUUAAAUGAAGGGAAUUAUAUCUCUCGUUGCUAUAUCCCUCAAGGACAGAGAGGGGGUUGGAGAUAACCUUCAGGGAAGGCAGAGGGCAGGAUUGCACUGACCCCAAAGGAUGCUGGAUGUGGUCCCUGAAGCCGUGGCUGCUGCGAUGCCUCAUUGCUGCGGGGAGCAGAGCUGCUGCAGAAGGAAAGAGGUCACCUGGAAGCUGAUUUAUUUUUUUUUAUUUCUCUUUCUUUUGCAUGUUUUCAUCAAAGCUUUAUAAAUAACAGACAAAAUCCCUGGGGAAAAAAACCUCCCAACCAGCUGCCUGUUGCAAGUACUCCAGGAAAUGGGAGGUGGUGGGGGAAGAGGGAAGGAAGGCUAAAUUUGGUGGCUUUUAUUUUUAACAAGGGCUAUUUCAGUUGGCUUUAAACCCAUGUAAAAAAAAAAUAAAAAUUAGAGCCAUGGGAAACUUUUGCCAGAACCAUAGGAGUCUGUGGAGCCGAGCACUUGCUCUGGCCAGCACGGCACAGACGCAGUGUCUUUGCCAGCCCCUGCUCCAGGAUUUGACAGCUCAGACGCUGCCAAGGCCAUCGCAGGGACAGGGAGCUCAGGGACAGAGAUGAAGCGAUAUAUUUCAAGGCCUUGCAAGACUUCUCUAGCAAAGCCAAGAGAGGCUCAAAACUUUCCAAAGCAACCAAAGAGGGCAUCUGCAAGUCCUUGCUUUUUUGCAGGGCUGGUGCAGCACAGUAAAGCUUAAGUUAACGAGCCCAGACAGUCAAGCAGAAAGAAACCCCCUUCUUCUAUGUUGCUUUUUAAAAAAAUUCCAUGACAACCCUUCUCCUCCCGACUGGCCCUUGCUAAAUCUUGCUGUUUGCAACACCUGAAGUCAAGGCGUAUAAAAUGACUUGGCAGCAUCCCUCUAACAUUCCCCUGGCACUCUUUGGAGAGCAAGGGUGUUAACCUUGGUGUCCUGGCAGUGUGCCAGGGUAAGUAAUUACAUUCGGCCUCUAUAAAUUAGCCCCACGGUCGCAGCCGGGGAGCUGCAGCGUCAUUUCCUCCCGGCUGCGCGGUGCCUAACACGCUCCACCCGGGCACUGGUUGCAUCCUGGUGCAUGGACUGGUGGGGAGGAGAGGCAUGGGGAGUGAUGGGGGAUUGCUCAUGCUAAUGCUUUGUUAAAUUGCUCCGGGGUUACAGGUUUGGUUCUUGGUGCUCUUGUGUCCGGAUAGGGAGAGUGGAGAGCGCGGAGCUGAAUUGGAUCGGGCUCCCUCUACCCCAACAGGGUGACCUGAUAAAUUGCCACCAGUCAGCUGAACCUCAGUAACGGCCUCUCGGCUCGCAGCUAAAAUUAGCUGAAAUGGCAUGAAGAGAAUUGCUGAAACCUCCACGAAAGUGAUUUAAGCCGAAGCACGUGACCUCGCAUUUGUCACGGGCCGGAGCACGCGCAGGCCUGCUGGCACAGCACAGGUGAUGUGCAGGAGCGUGUUAAGCCGAGGAGUCUCGAUCUGUAAGUCUUAACUCCAGUAGCUGGACCGAAUGCUCUACCUGUGACCUUAUCUCACAUCUCUCUGUUCCCCAGCACUGACUCAGGUUAACUCCCUUCUGCUGGGACCCAGCUUAAAGGGUCUUCAGCAGGUGUUGGGUUACAGCUGGAAUGGACUUCAGAGUGCAGGAAGGGUUAAUUUAAGAUUAGGAACAAUGUGUUGGCCAACUGUGCUUAUUUUCCAGUGCAGAUGCCAAGAUAACCCUGUCCAGUCUGGGCUGAGAUGGACUGCGCUUACAUGGAGGAUGAAACCAAGAGGGCGGGAAGGUCUAAGCAGGAGGAGAUGUGGUGCCACGUUCCAGACUGUCUUGUCAUUGUUCCUUUCAAAGGAAAAAACCUAUUUGUGAAGCUGGAUAUCCAGAGCCAGUAGUAGCUUUGGUGACUGAACCCCAGGUGGUUUUCUGUUGAUUCAGAACUUCAGCAAGUCCUACUAAUUGCAAGUCCUGCCCUUGCAGUGAAGCUUUGCCUCACUCACCAUUUCCAGGCUUCAAGAUUUGGGUACUGUUACCUGUCAUUUCUGCUUCUAAAAGGACUCUGGAGACUGGGAGUUUGGGAGCGUUCUUCUAGCCCCUGGGGAUUUUGUGCAUAUGUGUUAUCCUUUCCAUAAAAGAAUCAAUCUGGUGGUCAGGCCCCAAAAUGCUUGAGUAUUUAUUUAAAAGUAAAAUAAAAAGCUGCAGCAAAUAGGGGCUGAUGUCUUAAGGGCUGGGAGAAAAAGAAGGAAGGAUGGGUGUGUCCACGUGUUACACAUCUACAGGUUCUUGUGGCGUCCUGCAAGGUGAAGGAAAGUCGGUAGCGUAUGCCUGUGGUUAUUGUGUUUGCUUCUCAGUUAUCAUAUGAGGCCUAAAUUAAGAUGUCAAUAAAAUAUUCCAUGAUGGGCAUGUUAAGACAGCUGUGCCUUGUGUUUUAUGAAAUGAUUCGAGGAGCAGAGGAAGUGGGUUGUUCCAUCUGGCACACUCUGAUGAACCCUGGUGAGGAUGCUUUGCCCCAGUUUUCAGAGGGAGAUGCUCGAAGAUGCCCAACUCUGCUCCUGCCUUGCUACCCAGGCACUAAGGGUCGGAGGAAACACUGGUGGUGACUCAGUCCCUUGGAAAAUUAUCUUGCUUAUUUAUGUGAUGGUGAGGGAGAAGUUUGUGUUUAGAGGUCAGUGAAUUAACGAAUUAGAAAACAAAGACUCAAACCAAUGUUCAUUAUUUUCUGAAAAGCAAAUGCAGUCUUGGCUUUCAUUUACUGCAGAAGCAUUUAAGAGAUUUUCCUAGCAGAGAUCAGAGCUCCAGCUAGUGAAACCCUGUAAGAAAGAGUUCGUGCCUCAGGCAGGAGACAGACAGACAGUGCAAGGGAAACAGAAGCAGUGACUGGUAUUUGAGCACGUUUACGGGAGCCAAAAAGCAGAGCUGGGACCGCAGGGCCAGCCCUGGAAACCCCAGGCCAUAGAACCAACCUCCUUCCUCCCACAGCAAUGCUCUUAACAUUGACCAAGACAGGAUCGUUCAUGUGUUGCCCCUGGAGUCAGUGGCUGAAAAGCACUUUAUGAGGCAGCAGAAACACAAUGGGCUAUUAUUUUUAGACUAGAGCCAUUCACACAUUUUCUCUGCAAAGCGGGUACCCUCUCUCUUUGUUGUGUUUAGUUGUUUGUGCUGCCUACUAUUCCCUGCCUAUCCAGCAUCUAGCAAAAUGAGAUGCUGAUCUUGUCUGGGGAGGUAAAAUAUUGCAAAUUACCCUCAUCUGGAAACCCUUUGGGUUUGAACCUGAGCGCUGCACUUGUGCUGUAGCUCCGUGUCCAAACCGGUGGAGCUAAUGACCUGAGACUGCAGGGAAGUUUGGACACAGGCUGCAGCUCUGUCUCCCGGUAAUGCUCUCCUCAGUGGAUUAGAAGAAGCUUCCCUGGCAAACUGGGAAGGAGUCCAAGCUGGGGAGCUGGUGUGAUAGGAACUGACAGGGCUGGAAAUUUGAUUUCUGACUCUUUGUGCGUGUAUUUCUUAUGAAAGAAGAAGAGGGAGAGGGAGCCAGGAGUACUUUGAAUCCUGCAAUCAUUAAAACCAAUUCCACUUUUCCUGCCCCUGCCCACCUCCUGAUAUGUGUGUGAAACAAUCUUUACAGCUACACAGCCAUCAGAUGGUAUCGACCCGGCGGUGGAAAUUGCUAUUGACUGCUGCUGGUGCUGCUCUCUGCACUUCCGUGGCUUUUAAAGUGACACUCUUCAGGUGAUUUCAGUUUGCACUUGAUACAGCCUGGGAAGCACUGCCUGAAACGGGAUGGGAAGAGCAUGUGUGGGAUUUGUGUAUGCAACAAACACCGUCACUCUCCUUUAGUCAGGGGAAGGGUGUUUGAGCAUGUGGGAAGAGAUGCUUCUGCAGAAUCAUUCAUCUAAUAGGAAGAUUCAGAAAUCUGAAUUUUUUUUUUCUUUAGUCCAUCAUGAAAGGAUUCUUGUCUCCCACUACAGUUUUUUCCUACUGCAAUUCCAGCACCAAACCAGGACCAUUCUUCUACCCAUAUGAAGAAUCCGUCCAGUCCUACAUCAGCUGAGGACUAGAUACGUUGAUUUCUUGUUUUAAGGGGCACCUCUUAUUCCAUAUUAUGAAUUCUCUCUCAUCUGCUUUGGGUUCCAAAGGAAAAAAGUCAGGAAGCAAUAAUAUUUGCCUUUGAUGCAAGUGUUUCAUGCAUCUUAAAAACCCUUUUGAUCAUGUAUGAGAACAGGGCUCUGGCUUAGGACUGUAAAAAUGCACAUUUUGUUUCCUCCAAGGCAAUUUAAUUGAUGGCAUUUGGUUAUUCCAGUUCUUGGGUUUGGAGUUAAGUGGUGGUGAGGGGAGAUGAUAAAAAAGCUGUGUAAAAACCAGGGUUAGAGUCUGACCCCAGCUCCACAGAGUAAAUCUAGUGCAAUGCCAUUCUCAUGAUGCUAGUGGUCACUUGGGUUUCUGUGCAGUGAAGGUCCCUGUCCUACCUGCAGUGAAGACCUGGUAGAUGCUGUCUUCUUCCAGAGCAGGCUGUGAUGGUGAAGUCUCCCAGGGGCUGUUUUCUUCUGGAAUGUUUCUCCAGGGCUGACGGCAGCACUGUGGCCUCCAGUCCAAAUGCAGUCCACCUGCCAAGCACUGGCUUGGAGAAGGAUGAACAUGCUUUGGGAAGUGACAUUUGUCUGGUCAAGGAGUAAAGCAGGGAGCACCCUGCUGUGGUCUGACCUGUGCUCCAAACCAGGCAAAGCUCCUGCCUCUCUUUUACCAGCAAGUUGGAGGUGCUGUUAUUAAAAGAAUGGAUGUUGCUCUCUCUCAUAGAGCUCUGCCUUUGUUCUUCUUCCAGAUUUGUGCCUUAGACUUCAACCACAUGGUAGUGCCCAGGAGCAGAGGCUGCCCAGAUGUGUCCAGAGUGUAUGUGCAAGGACUGCCCUUUUUUGUUAUCUGGAACAGUGACUGCCUAAAGCUUCUGAGCCAGCCCCUUAGCUCGAAUGCAAAUAACCACUGCUAUUAGCUAUGAGCAGUCUCUGACAGCCUUGAUUUCAGGUCACAAGACUGGCAGGCUGCUGAGGUGUCAGGAGACAUGCCUGGUAUUUCCAAACUCUCCAGCCCAAGCCCUGGGAACUGCUCUGCUGGUUUACACCGAGCCUUGGUGUUCAUGGGGUGAGUCUGACCCUUCUCAGCCUGGCUCUGUCUCAGCUGAAUGGGAGGAAGAAGUGGAAAUAGAAAGGGUUGGAUGUGGAGAGCAUGUCUUGGUGGGAUGGUUUGCAUACCCAGCCUUCCCAGGCUGGGAAGGGAGAUGGAGCAGGGCUGGGAGAUAGGGUUAACUGAGAGUCAGCAGACCUGCUGGCUGAUGCGGGCAGAGCUGAGGCAGUAAGAAGCCUGGCCUAGGGGUGGUUUGACGUGCCAAACGCUGCCCUGCAUGUUUGGGACAGAGCUCUGAGAAGAAGGUACAGAAUAUCUCUGGGUGAGCACAUGGCCCUUUGCUGCUUUUGCAUCUGCUGCCCACCCCUGGGAUGGUCACAGGUCAGACAUGUCAGUUGGGAGGGGGGCUGAUGACUAUAAAAACCUCCUCUUGCCUGUGGCUUCUUUUGCCUCUCCUCUCUUUCCCCUCUGCUUAUGGCAGCAUGCAUCUCCCAGCACACUGCUCCCAUUUCUCUCCUCCCACUGCAUCCCCAUCUGGCUACUGGAGGCCAAACACUGCCUGUUCCAUGGGGACAGUAGGGACCUGGGAUGACUUUUCUCCUCCCCACUCCUCCUUGGGCUCUGCCACUGUCUUUCUUUCUGGUCUAAUUCUUGUAUCGCUCCAGAACUAGACUAUCCUACUGGGGAAAGAACAAUUAUCUGGGAGAAGGGGCUGAAAGCCUGGAACACAGGAGGAGUUUCGGCUCUUUUAUUUGAGGCCAGGGCAAUGUGAGCCAAGUGAGGUCUUUCAAGCCUGGACCUUGAAAUCUGGGGUCCCACUCAGGACUUGUAAAAAUUAGAAAGCCAGGUUUUUACUGUGAGUUAAAUCAGUACUUCUUCAAAUGAGAUUUAUUAAUUUACAUCAUUUGAGGACCUUCCCCAGCAUGAGACUGGGGGAAAAGCAGCAUGUUAGAGUUGCUGGUAGCUUUUGAGUGUUAUAUGUCCUUUUGUCUUCCCCAUUGCAGGACCACAGCACCCCCAUCUUUUUUCCAGCCCUCUGGCAAAUGUCUUCUGUCCCCAUCCCUUGGACAUCUUGACUUUGUGGUUCAUUAAAUAGAGGUGGCAAAGGUUGAAGCUGCUGGUAAAUAGGCCAGUGUGGGAGGCUGAAGGCUCAUUCCAGAGCAAUAUUCAACAGCUCCACCUCUGUCUCAGCAGGAUCUUCUUCCAAAGCCCCAAUCCCAGUGAACAUGGCUUUCCCUUCUCAGGGCUGUGGCUUUCCCUUUGCAGCCAGUGCUGAGCUGAUGGGGCCAGUGGACCACGCAUGGAAUGUGAGUGUAGGUGGCUUGGAGCUCACUGUGAGAUGCAAACAGUGUUUGCUCUGCAGGCUUCGCUCUGGUUCAGAGGCAGUGGCAACCUGUCCUUUCUGGCUUCCCCUUUGGAGAACUGUGCCUAGGAACUUGCUCCCUUAGCCCACCUCCCAGCUCCUCAUGUCCCAUAGUAGUCAGGUGCUGCUGGAAUGUGCAUGUGCCCUUAUCAAACAGGCAGCCCUCGACAGUUUCUCUUUCUUCUGGGCUUAACCUGCCUAAGUCUUUUUGGGGCGAGAUACGAUAUGCGACUUGACAGCAAUUCGAGGUGAGAUUUUUUUCCUCCUGGGAAAGCAUGGUAAGAAAUUAAGCUUUGCAGGUUUUCUGCCCAGUGGACCAAGGAAAGAAAAGUCCUUGGUGAACUUGGGGCUGGGUCUGGAGACAGGAGAGCUGCUGCUGUGAUUUGUGGCUAUGCAGUUCUCUCUGCAGCACUGCCUCCGUACUCAGAAGUGAGAGGCAAGUGGUUUUGACACCUCUUUAUGACCUGGGAGCCACAGGGAAGUGGUGGUGACUUGUGUUCUGGAAAGACAAGGUCAUCGACAAGGGUGGUGCAAGCAUCUUUUUUGGUUCGUCUGACCCUACUAGAAUCCAAAUAUUUUCAAUUCAUAGGAAUUAAAGUGAACAUCAUAGUUUUAGGCUACUGGCUAUUUGAAUCUGGUUGCUUCCCAAGGUGGUGUACAAUACAGGGAUAUUAAGGGGAAAGCUGUUGAUAAGAGCAACAGUGAAAAUGGAUGUCUGGUUUCAAGCCUGUCUGUCCUACAACCUUCAGGGCCUGCCAGGGGACGUGUUUCCUGGGCUGUGAAAAACCAAUAUGGGACACAAUCAUAUAUCAGGGAUUAUAUCGAUCAUUGUCUCAGACCCAUUCAGUCCAAGGACACCAGCACCUUUUGGAGAGGAAGUGUUGCUCCUGCUCUGGGACUCUGGGGAGGGUGUUGAAUGCAUGGCAGUGAUGCUGUGCAAGGGGAAGUGACUCCCCUUUAGGGAAUGCUGGGUCCAUACUUGAACCAAUUAGUAGAAUGGAGCUGAGCAAAGUACAGAAGGGAUCAGACUGAUAAUAAGCAAAAUGCUCAAAUAUGGGAAGUUGGGGAAGAAGCCAAAUGAAAAUGAAAUGAAAGGCUAAGGUCCAACUUCAGCAGUUGUGCAGAAAGGAUGGGACAGCUGAUAAUAGGAAAGCCUGCAGGAACAAUGGGUCAAACCCCUACGCAAGAGACUGAAGGAAUCUGUGAACAAGCCAAGUGGGGGCGGGGGGAUUUUAUCGAAAAGCAUUUCAGCAAAUUAAAGCUGUUGGCUUGCUUACCACUAUCAAGACCUAAGUCCCUCACUGUGACCUCAUUGCUCAGUGCUUUGUGGGGAUGGCCAGUUGAGAAGUGCAUGGGUGAGUCAGGUUCUGUCUCAGAGGAGCAGCAAGGGUCUUCUUGGCAGACCUUUGCAUGGGGGGAAUGCUUCCCACCAACUUUACUGCUAUGGAGGGGCCGAGAGCAUUUGCUCUAUCCCUUAAUUCAGAGCUGAUGAGAAUUGUCUUUGGGGAUAACCUUAAACCCCUCUUUUAUGAAGGUGAAAUCAGAAACCCGUAGCUGAGCCUCUUCCUUGGCAGUCUUUCCUAGUCUUGGAAAUCCAUGGAAGACUCAAGAGACGAAAACCAAUUUCUGACUGCAGACGAACUCCAUAAAGACCACUUGAAGGUAGAUGAUGUGAUGAAAAACAUCCCAAAAACUGUAAGUCUGCAUCUAAGAAAAUUAUUUUCUUACAAAGAAAGUAGUUCUAGAUCCCUCUAGUUCACAUGAGGCAGCGGGGAUUCCUUUCACAGACACGUCGAUUAAGGUAGGCAUUACAUGAUCACCUUUGGGUGAGAACCUCAGCUCUUGCUAGUGGAGGAAAGGCUCCUCUUUUUCUUGGCUCUCCAUAUCCCCAUGUGUACAAAAAGAAUAGGGAUAUACCUUCUUGGUAAAUCAUCUGAAAAUGGACUUGCUACGAAAGACAGCCCAUUCUGCUAGCGGCAAAGAGGUCCCAUUUGGAGGCUUGACUUGUGAGAUCUCGUGGAGAAUCUAUGGAAUACAGUCAUGAGUUCGUACCUCUAAUGUGGCUUUCUCUUUAUAAAAGUACUGCACGGAAUGUGAGACUCACUAGAUAAAAGUGAAUUUAACAGCUAUUUUGUAUCCUUUGAGGAACAUCAGUGCUGGUUGAAAGAGGGGAAAAAAACCUUUUUGUUGAGUCUGGAAUGGACCUGCUUUUAUUGAAGGACUCUACAACUGCUUUUGUUGCUAUUUCCGCUGAUAGCUUUUACCUGACUUGUUUUCAAAAUCCUUGUUGAAUUUUUUUUCUGUCCACAAAAAACUGCAUUUCCUUGCUGAAAUUCAAGUUGGGGGUCUGGAAAAACGUCCUAAAUGAUUUUACAGAUGUCUUGUUCUGAUGUAGAACUCCCAGAAAUAGGGCAUUCUGUAAGGGAAGUCACCUGUUUAUUUCCAGGAGGGUAGACAAUUUAUUUUAAACAAUGCCAUCUUCUUUUCAAUUAUAGAUGCUUUUGUGGAAAAAAAAAUUCCAACAGUCUCUAAGAAAGAACACGUGAUCACAAUUAAAGGAUGUGCUGUACUGUAUCAGAAGGUAGCAUUUAAACCAGGGAAAGCCUGAAUAUUGGCUAUAACUCAUUGUAAUUAUACCAUCUAUUUCAAACAUGUAAAUAUGUUUGGUAGCACUUACAUGUUUAUGUCAGCUAUUGGGAAAAGAUGUUUUUCUUUUUGGUAAACUUCUGAUGGUAAGAAUUUUGUUCCUUGCAUUCGAAUAAAUAACAAACAAGCUUACAUACCACAAAUUUUUGUGUGAACAGAACUUGGUCCCCUCUUUUGUGGUUGUAGGAUUGUACUCAUGUUUGGGUUAUUUAUAAUAAUUUCAUGAAUAGGUAAUAUUAAUAAGCAACAUAUUAAUUAAGACAUAUAUUUCUCAGUAGGAUAAACCAUGACCGUGGCAAACUCAGUGUGAUGCAGGGGAUUAAACAUGAGGCUGGGAAUGGGGUGAGUAGGAAUCUAAUUCUGGCUCUUUCCACCCUAACUGGGGUCAGGGGUAUUUAGCUCAUUUUGGAAGGGCUUUGAGAUCUGCAGGUUGAGAUCCCUCCAGAAGACCCAGGUGCUUUCCUAAAGUCUAACACACAAACCCUGCAAAAACCUGAAGGCUGAUUUAACCUGGCAUUGGAAGUGAAGCUGCAUCUCUGCUCGAAUUGAUGAGAAAACUCCCUUUGCUUCUGGGGAUUGGGAUCCUUUGCUAGGAGAAAUCAUUCUGAGCCUAUUUCCCGUCCCUUUGACAUUUUCUGUCUUAUCAAAAGCCAAAGGAGUAAGGAAGAAGGUUAAUGACUAAAUUGACAAAUAAACAAUCAGUUCAAAGCAGCAA